rnacentral:rRNA from 1 species
UACGAAGGGGGCUAGCGUUGCUCGGAAUCACUGGGCGUAAAGGGUGCGUAGGCGGGUCUUUAAGUCAGGGGUGAAAUCCUGGAGCUCAACUCCAGAACUGCCUUUGAUACUGAAGAUCUUGAGUUCGGGAGAGGUGAGUGGAACUGCGAGUGUAGAGGUGAAAUUCGUAGAUAUUCGCAAGAACACCGGUGGCGAAGGCGGCCAACUGGACCAUCACUGACGCUGAGGCGCGAAAGCGUGGGGAGCAAACAGG